UUUUUUUUUUUUUUUUUUUCAUUGUGCUCUCAAGGGACGAAAAUCCUUUUGUGGCGUGAAAGGAGAGGCGUUCCUGCCGUCCCCUCCCUCGAACUGAUUGGCUGUGUCACAAGAUGGCCAAAUCCACCCGGAUUAAUGUGCGGCCGCGGAGUGAGGCCGUCUGAGUCCGCCCCUUCGGGCGAGCGAGCGUGUCUGCCGCCCUGGGAGCAGGGGAGGGGGACCCGGAGGGCCAGGCCACCACUUUCUUCAUAUUUAUUAUUCCCGCCCCCCCCCUCCCCAGCCCCGGCCCCGCGGCGAUGUUUAUUCAUGGGCCACAUCUGCUGGCUGGCAGGCGACACGUCUCUUGUUAGAGUGCCUGGAGUCCCCAAGGAGCCAGGGGAAAUGGGGCACAUUCCUGAGGACCUGCCUUUCCUCUCUGUCGCACGGUCCUGCGGCUUUGGCAGCCCACCUGUAAUCCUAGCCCUCCGCAGAGCCCACCUUCUGCCCUUUCCACCUGGAGAUGCUGGCCUCUUUGCUCCCAGAGACCCAGGGCUGGAGGGGGCACCCUCUCCCCCUGCCCUUUGCCCUUCUGUCGUUUCUUCCAGAAUCACUCUUCUCCAGGGUCAGUUAGAUACUGAAACCUCAGGCUGGGGGAACCAGCUCAGACGGAGUCUCGCCCAUUUCCUAAAGAGAAGAACUCCUUAGUUUUUUGUCUGUUUGUUUCUCCUGUGAUUCUGUAGCUCUUUCAUGGCACUUACCAGAGUAUUCUUUCCCUCCCUGUCCAGCCCAGAAGACAAGGUCUGUCUGUGGCUCACCUUUGUCACCCCACCAGGCCCCAACUAGUGGACAAGUGUCGAUGUGUUUGUUUGUUUGUUUGUUUUUUCUGGCUGCUCCUGAGGCAUGUGGAAGUUCCCAGGCCAGGGAUCCAACCGGGUCACGCACUGCAGCGACCUGAGCCCAUGUAGACAACGCCAGAUCCUGAACCCACUGAGCCACGAGGGAACUCCCUGCAAAGCCCUUUUUUUCCCAUUUGUAAAAUGACACUGUUUGCUUCAACUUGGCUUUCUGUUUAUCUGCCUGUGUGUGGUUUCAGGGGUAUCAGGCAUUUAAAAAUAUUAAUCGCCAGCGUGAGGAGAAUGGGAAGACCUAUUCUCAGAUUUUGGGAAGUCAGGACCCUCUACUGGGCCACUCAGAGGUCACUCUGUCUGUAGGACCAGCUGCAUGGCAGUCAGGCUAAUAAUUACUUUUGCAUUGGCAGCUGGAAAUGACUGCUAUUUUCUGAUUUUUGGAAAUGGGACAGCCUCCAAGUUACAAAUAGACAAAGAGGAAAAACAGAAAAAAAUGGGAGACAUGGUAGCAUUUUAAUGGACAAGCCAAAUCAAAUCUUUCCAGGUAUUAAGUGAAAAAGUAAGAAUAGAGGAAGCUUUGGACUCAGACAAUUUUAGCAGUGCUCUCAAGAAUUCACAGUAGUUGCUGGCUGGGACUGGUUGUGAGUGGAACUGUGUCUCUGAGAUUGUGGAGAGGGGCUUUGACAAAGUGGGAGGGUCAACUUUCUCAUGAUAAGUAGGAUGUCUUUUAGGUCCAUAGUUGAGGGGCAGGAAGGCGAGGUUGUGGCAACGGGACAUGGGACCUGAAGGGAAGUGGGACAUGGAGGAAGUGGCCCGGGCUCCAAGGGCGUCUGAUCUUCCUCCUUUGAUUAAACCAAGAUCCAAGGGCUUCUAUAUAGCACACAUCCCCAUGUGUCUGCCGAGGGGGUCCUGCAGCCGUCACCUGCAGCGGGGAUGGGCGGGGAGAGAAGGUGUUAAAAAAAUGCAAGUCUGGUCCUCAGCUGAGACGCUUCAGAUUUCUCCGGGGGGGAGGGCCCUGGGAAUCUGCAUUUGGAUAAGUACCCAGAGGAUCCUUAGGCACACUGAAAAAAACCAAUCUGGGUGAGUAGAAGAGUUAAAUCUAAACCCUCUAUGGCUCCCUUAGAGCCCCUGCCUUCCUGAGAGUGGGAUGGGCUAUGAGUAAGCUGACAGUGAUUCUGAGUUAAACAGCCCCUUCGGAAUGAUUAACACUUGAAAU
rnacentral:lncRNA from 1 species